rnacentral:rRNA from 1 species
GUAAGGGAAGCGCGCGGAGCCGGGGGAAAAGGUGGGGUGCAAGCGGUAAUCGGAAUGACUGGGGGGAAAGCGGUGGCAGGCGGGGCCAUAAGACAGAUGUGAAAGCCCCGUGCUUAGCCUGGGAACGUCGUUUGGGACUGUGGUGCUCGAGUGUGGCAGAGGGGGGUGGAAUUCCACGGGUAGCAGUGAAAUGCGUAGAGAUGUGGAGGAACACCGAUGGCGAAGGCAGCCCCCUGGGUCAACACUGACGCUCAUGCACGAAAGCGUGGGGAGCAAACAGGAUUAGAUACCCUGGUAGUC